CCUACGGGUGACAGCAGUGAGGAAUAUUGGUCAAUGGACGAGAGUCUGAACCAGCCAAGUCGCGUGAAGGAUGACUGCCCUAUGGGUUGUAAACUUCUUUUAUAUGGGAAUAAAAUGUUCCACGUGUGGGAUUUUGUAUGUACCAUAUGAAUAAGGAUCGGCUAACUCCGUGCCAGCAGCCGCGGUAAUUCGGCGGAUUCGAGCGUUAUCCGGAUUUAUUGGGUUUAAAGGGAGCGUAGGUGGAUUGUUAAGUUAGUUGUGAAAGUUUGCGGCUCAACCGUAAAAUUGCAGUUGAAACUGGCAGUCUUGAGUACAGUAGAGGUGGGCGGAAUUCGUGGUGUAGCGGUGAAAUGCUUAGAUAUCACGAAGAACUCCGAUUGCGAAGGCAGUUCACUGGACUGCAACUGACACUGAGGCUCGAAAGUGUGGGUAUCAAACAGGAUUAGAUACCCUAGUAGUC
rnacentral:rRNA from 1 species